UUGGCUGCCGGCAAGCUUCCUAAGGGACUCGGCCACUCGGAGGGCGCCACAGCGGCCACUCUAGCCGCUGUCCCGUGGUUUGGCCUCCCUCUUUCAGCCGCGAGCUCUAUGGUGCUGGCGACGACAUGUGGCGGCUGCCGGGACUCCUGGGCCGAGCUCUUCCCCAUCUCCUGGGACCUGGCUUUCGUGGGGUGACCCCCAAGUCCUCCAGCCCAGAUGGGCCUCAGGCUACCUCCUCCAAUCUGCUGGUUCCUGUGCCCAGUUUUGACAGGUCCAGCCCCCACUGCCCUGGCCCAGGCACAAGCAGGGGCCCAAAGUCCCAUGGAUGGAAGGAUGCCUUCCAGUGGAUGUCUGCUCGUGGCUCCCGGAACACACUGUGGGAUGCCAUAUCAUGGGGCACUCUGGCCGUGUUGGCCCUGCAGCUGGCGAGGCAGAUCCACUUCCAGACGUCCCUUCCAGCAGGACCUUGGCGAGUGGAGCACUGCUCUUGGUACAGUCCGCUGGACCGCUUCCUCUCAUCUCCCUUGAGGCACCCUUGUUCCUCACUGCGGAGACACAUUCUGCCUAGCUCUGAUAGCCCAGCUCCCAAGCACACUGGCCUCGGGGAAUGCAGACUGGGCCAGGAAGAACCUUCCACUCAGCCCAAGAGCAUCUCUUCACCCAGCUCUUUGAGAGCAGCUAGGCAUCAGGACCCCUCUGAGGAAGAUCCCAGUGACAUCAGCUUCCUGCAUGCCAGCAGUAGCUUCAAGUCCAAGCCGAAGCCGGCCCAACCUCAACCCACUGACGAAAAGCAGGAACAAGAGAAAUCAAAACUUUCCCUCGAGGAGGCCGUGACCUCCAUUCAGCAGCUCUUCCAGCUCAGUGUUUCCAUCGCUUUCAACUUCCUAGGGACAGAGAACAUGAAGAAUGGGGACUACAUGGCAGCCUUUUCUUACUUCCAGAAAGCAGCGGACCGCGGCUACAGCAAAGCACAGUACAACGUGGGCUUGUGUCACGAGCAUGGCAGGGGCACCCGCAGGGACCCCAGCAAGGCAGCCUUUUAUUACCAAUUGGCUGCCAGCCAGGGCCACAACCUUGCUCAGUACCGUUAUGCAAGGUGCCUGCUACAAGACCCUGGCUCCUCGUGGGACCAUGAGCGGCAGAGGGCAGUGUCCAUGCUGAAGCGGGCUGCAGACUCAGGCUUACGGGAGGCCCAAGCUUUCCUCGGGGUGCUUUUUACCAAGGAGCCCUACGUGGAUGAGCAGAGAGCUGUGAAAUAUCUUUGGCUUGCAGCCAACAAUGGGGACUCACAGAGCAGAUACCACUUGGGAAUUUGCUAUGAGAAGGGCCUUGGGGUACAGAGGAGUCUGGGAGAGGCCAUGAGAUGUUACCAGCAGUCAGCAGCUCUGGGGAACAUGCCCGCCCAGGAGAGGCUGCGGGCCCUCUUCUCCACGGAGGCAGCAGGUACAGACGAGAAUCACAGCCAACAGGUCCCUCCCUGAGCUCCGUACCCUGCGAUAGAGAAGCAGGUGAUGGUAGCCUUCUGUCUCUCUGUUACUUCCUGCUCCAGUGGUGUGUACGAGCCCAGCUUUUUGAGUCUGACAGAUCAAACCUGAGUUUUAACCCCUGCUCUGUCACUGAACUUGGAUUGCAUGUACUUGCACCUCUGUUUCUUCACCUCUGAAAACUCAUUAGGUUGUUUCUGUCCUUUAAGACUGCAGUCUCUGUUUUCCCCAGUACUGUGGAAGUCCUGUAAUCAAAUCCCACCAGCCUUCAAAGUCAGAUUUCCUGGGGAUUCCCAGUCCCUUUGCCAGUUCCGUGGGCUGGGAAGCCUGAAGGGGCUCAGAACCUUCACAACAGUGGGAGAACUUCUGUGAUACAGUUAUUUUCCAGUUUGUGGGCCACCCACCUGGCGGGAGGAGAUGAGGGUAUGUCAUUCUACUCUGCCAUCUUGGAAUCAAUCUCUGGAAACUCAUUGAGGAUUAAAUGAGACGACAGCCAAGGGCUUAGCAUAGCCUGGCGCAUAGUAGGUGUUGAAUACAUGGUGGCCUCUCAGAUGACUCGUCAGGAGGGACACUCUCCUGAGGCUGCCUCCAGGCCCUAACUUACGGUCUAGGGCUCUGCUCACCCCUGACUCACUCUGGCUGACCUGGUGAACAAUGCCAGGGGAGCCAAGUCCUUCAAGAAACCCUUGCUCCAAAGUAGAAGUCCAAGAACACAAGGUAAGAGUUGCUCUCCCCUCUCCUCACAGCCCCAGGGCCCAGCGACCUAGCAGUGAGAGGACUGAAGUCAUUUUCUAGCCCCUCUCUCUGCAGCCUGAACAGGAGCCUGCUGGCAGGAGCCUCUUGCCUGCCACACGCCUCCAGCACAGGGAACCUUGGCCUCCUCUGUAGA